rnacentral:Y_RNA from 1 species
GGUUGGUCCGAGUGCAGUGGUAUUUACAACUAAUUCACAACCAGUUAUAGAUGCCUUUGUUCCUUCUCCACUUCCACUGCUUCAUUUGACCAGCCUUUA